AUUGAACGCUGGCGGCAGGCCUAACACAUGCAAGUCGAGCGGUAGAGAGGUGCUUGCAUCUCUUGAGAGCGGCGGACGGGUGAGUAAUGCCUAGGAAUCUGCCUAGUGGUGGGGGAUAACGUUCGGAAACGGACGCUAAUACCGCAUACGUCCUACGGGAGAAAGCGGGGGAUCUUCGGACCUCGCGCCAUUAGAUGAGCCUAGGUCGGAUUAGCUAGUUGGUGAGGUAAUGGCUCACCAAGGCGACGAUCCGUAACUGGUCUGAGAGGAUGAUCAGUCACACUGGAACUGAGACACGGUCCAGACUCCUACGGGAGCAGCAGUGGGAAUAUUGGACAAUGGGCGAAAGCCUGAUCCAGCCAUGCCGCGUGUGUGAAGAAGGUCUUCGGGAUUGUAAAGCACUUUAAGUUGGGAGGAAGGUAGUAACCUAAUACGUUGNUACUUUGACGUUACCGACAGAAUAAGCACCGG
rnacentral:rRNA from 1 species